CCUGGUUAAACGCCACUGGUGCUGUGUUCAGUCACAGCACCGCAACCUACUCCAGCUCACUUCCUCCCAGGCAUCCGGUCAAGUCACAACCUGUAGCCUGUUCUUAAGGCGUAGACAUGAACAAGUGGCUCCCAGUCCAUCUCUGCAUUCAUAAAUUGAAGAGGAUGACAUGUUCCCAAGAGAGCCCCCUGGGAUCCUCAGGAGCCCUCCAUCUUAUGGCUCCCCAAAGGUACCCUGGGAAUUCAGAAGAAAGCAUCAGAUCUCCCUGGAACUGGAAGCACUGAUGGUAUGAGCCACCAUAUGGGUCCUGGGAACCAGCCAAGGUCCUCUGCAAGAACCACACAUGCAAAAGCUGUGGAGCCAUCUCUCCAGCUCCAUCUUUAAUUCUUUUGGCACUGAAAAUCUUUACUCCAAGAAAAUCUCACCUAAACUUCCAUCAAAACCAAUGGGAAAUCAGCAAUCGCAGGCCAGAGUGUUUCUGGGACGGUGGCUGCUUAAUCAACCAAGCCCUGGAAGGAGGAACGACCAGAAGAGAGCCCUGACUCAGGCUGGAAUUGAAUAAGACCACUGAGGUGUUGGGAUUGCAUGCUGUUACUACAGCAUAAUCCACCCAGCCCUGAUUAAUAGCCCUGAACGAGCCCAGAUCUCCAGAAUUCCCUUGUGGUCUAAGCUGAGGGGUUUCCCUAAAUGCCAUUCCUGCCCAUGCUUUAGAUGGUGUGCUGGGUUUGGGAAGUCUUCUGCCUUUCAUGUGGAUCUGAGGACCAGUUCUGAGCUGCCUCAUACGGGAGACUGCAGUGAGCUGAAUGGUACCCUUCAGAAAGGCCUGGACUGUUACAUUGCUGGGGGGUUGACGGGGUCUUUGUAAAUGUAGUUAACUUAAGGCCGUGAAGCAGAAGAUCAGCCUGAAUUAGCAAUGUG
rnacentral:lncRNA from 1 species